AGGUGUACAGCUCAGGGGCAUUAAGCACAUUCUCUUUGUUGUGCAAGUAUCACCACCAUCCCUCUCCAGAACUUUCUCAUCUUCCCAAACUAAAAUUCUGCUCUCUUUAAACAA